rnacentral:rRNA from 1 species
UACGCAGGGUGCGAGCGUUAAUCGGAAUUACUGGGCGUAAAGCGUGCGCAGGCGGUUCGUUGUGUCCGAUGUGAAAGCCCCGGGCUUAACCUGGGAAUGGCAUUGGAAACUGGCGAGCUUGAGUGCGGCAGAGGGGGGUGGAAUUCCGCGUGUAGCAGUGAAAUGCGUAGAGAUGCGGAGGAACACCGAUGGCGAAGGCAGCCCCCUGGGUCGACACUGACGCUCAGGCACGAAAGCGUGGGGAGCAAACAGG